rnacentral:lncRNA from 1 species
UCUCACUUCGUCACUCUAGAAACUGCUGACCUUAGAGAGACUUUUCUGUGGCCAGGCUUAUGUCUGAGGAGAUUAUCUUUUCAAGGAGCAUUCCUGGAAGAACCACACUGGCUGCUGAGGAAGUGAAAAUGUAUGCGGCAAGAUUGGAAGGUGAAUGGGGCAAGAGAGGAAUGCAUGUCUCUGUCAAGAACAGAGAUAAUCGUGGCUGGGACUAGGAUGUUUGUGGUGCAGGAGGAGGGGGUGAUCAGAUUCAAGAUCUAUUUUGAAACUGGACUGUGCUGAUAGAUUGGAUGUGAACAUGAAAGAAAGAGGUUUCUGUCUGGCAUAGAUACAUUGUACUGGCUGAGUGAUACAUUUUACUGAGAGGGAUUACAUUGAGGAAGAAUCAGGUUUCAUGUGGAGGAUGAGGAUCAAGAACAUGGUAAGUUUGAGAUGGCUAGAAGAUAACCAAGUGAAGAUGCCACAUAGGCAGGUUUGAUAUCUAGGUCUGGAAAUGUGGGCAAUGUCAAAGAGCAAACUGUAAAUUUGGGAUUAUCAGCAUGGGUUUAAAGAUAUGAGGCUGAUGGUGUUCAGAGAUAUGUGGCUGAAUGAGAUCCCUCCAGGAAGCGAAUGUAUAUAGGGAAGAGCUCUGAGGACUGAGCCCUGGGGCCUCUAGAUAUCUGUAGAUCAAGAGGAGAAGGAUUUAGUAAAGGAAGCUUCUAUCUAAAGAACACUUCAUCUUGCUAAAGAGGAACCUGUCUUUGUUGGAAGACAAAUUCAAGUGUCUCUCACAUUUCUGCACAUCUUACAAGCAGAGGACCUGGCUGCCUUUUUUCUAGACUCUCUUUUCCAGGAUGUUUAUAAAGUGAACGGCCUUUGAAAAUACAGACAGUGUCCCUCUUUAGGGAAAAGGAAAAAUUGCUUACAGCUUUGGAAGAUAGAGACAGUGUCAACCUGCAGAACAAAGAGUAGGCCUGUUUACUGCCCAUUAUAAAAGGUUCAGUUUCCCUAAACUCAAAGUUCUUCUCUUAUAACACAUCUUACUACAUGUGCAGGAGUCACCUCUUUCUUUUGUGUCAUCUUGUGGGAAAUGGUAUUGGGGAACUGUGAAAGAAUGUGCUGACACUCUGACCACUGCAAUUGCUGUGAAUUAAAAAGUUCUUAAAAAAAAAAAAUAAUUAAAAAGUUCUUUUUCUGUGAUGCAGGCAUCGCAUGUCUCCAUCAGUACCCACAAAUCCAUGACAAGCUAACUUGUCAGCUUGCAAGUCAGGUAAAAGCCCAGGCCCUUC